GGCUUCAUGGGGGAAUAGGUAGACCCGACAGACUUAAACUCUGUUUCCCAGUAAUGGGAGUGUGGGUUCAAGUCCCACUGAAGCUA
rnacentral:tRNA from 1 species